rnacentral:lncRNA from 1 species
UUUGAAUCCUCAUCGAAACGCUUUUCGUUUCGUCUCAAUCGGAGUUUCCGUUGAGAUUUUAUGACGAAAUCAAGUAGGACUCUUCUUGGCUUGCUUCCACUCGCUACGUAGCGACCUGUCAGACUGUCAGUCGCUACGUAGCGACCUGUAAGGCCUCAUAAAGGUCCUACUUUGGGUUGUCUUUUGAAUCCUUGUCGAAACGCUUUUCGUUUCGUCUCAAUCGGAGUUUCCGUUGAGAUUUUACGACGAAAACAAGUAGGACUCUUCUCGGCUUGCUUCCACUCGCUACGUAGCGACCUGUCAGACUGUCAGUCACUACGUAGCGAUCUGUAAGGCCUCAGAAAGGUCCUCCUUUGGGUUGUCUUUUGAAUCCUCAUCGAAUUGCUUUUCGUUUCGUCUCAAUCGGAGUUUCGGUUGAGAUUUUACGACGAAAACAAGUAGGACUCUUCUUAAACUCCUUGGCUUGUUCCUGCUCGCCCUACCUCCAUCUUUGCAUUCACUUUCGAAUCUCGAUCGAAACGUCUCUUGUUUCUAUCGGAGUUACCAUUGAAACUUUACGAUAAAAAAAAAAAAAAAAAAACCGCAAAGACUUGUUUUCUCGCAUGGAUUCAGGUUAAUCGUAUAAAACGGCAGCGGUUAACUUAACAUCUUAGCCGCCUUAACUAUACGAUUAUGUUGAACCUUUUUACGAAAAUCGACGUCUUAUCUAAGGAGAAGAUAACAGUCAAGUUCGGAAGAUAAAUGUCAAGUUUCAAAGGAUAAACACCAAUAUCGGAAAUGGCGAACAUACACGAGAAGAGGAAAGGGAAAUGAGCAAGCAAAACUGAGAAAAGACAAAACUGUAUCUGCGAGAGGAUUAAGAUCUUGCAAACCGAUCUAAACUCUCCGAAAGUCGAGAAACGAUCGCCGCGCAUAUCAAGCUCGCUUCCUAAAGAGAGAAAAAGUUAGAGACAUGAACGUCGUCUUAAAACCAAUUCGUUUCUGGCAAUUUUCUCGGAACCGACAUAUCCCAAGUCGUCAACGUGGAAACAACCAAAUCACAGUCCAAGCGUCAUCUAUAAAUCGUCUCGAAUUAUCGAUCAUUCCAAACAUCAGAAGAGGAAACGUACACAACCCUUCAAAGUAUCGUUUCAACAGUUUUCUUUCGUAAAAAAAAAAGGGGGAGUAGGUACGUAUACUAUACUCGUAUACUCCCAAACUUCAAAAUCUUCCGCAAAUCGUCAAAAAUAGGCAAACGACAAUCUUAAUAUUUGUCUAAACGCUAGCAACAUAUCCAGACGAUCAUGAAUAUAAUCUCAAAAACUAUAUAUCAUUUCUUGUCGCAAUCAUGCGUACAGAAAACUUGUAUCAAUAUCAAACUGAAACUCGACGAUUAGCCAAAGUAUUGAAGCCUUUUCCGGCUUCAGAAAGCUAGUUUCGUUUUAAAAAAAAUUUCUACGAGAAAUCUUCAGUCAUCAAAGCAUUUCUUUCAGUUUCCGUUGUACCAAGUAAGUCACGGAAAAGCAUCAAAAACAUUUGCGACGAAGAAAACUCGAGAAUAGAUGUAGCAUCGUGCACAUUAAAAGGAGCACUUUCCUCCCGAUGGUUAGCUAGAUUCACCUCUGGUUGACCAAUUCGUUCAAGAAACGAAUGUGUCAUGAGAAUCCUCUCGAAAAACCUACGAAAAACAUUCUGCGACUAGAUCGUAUUGAAAUAAACUUCGGUAACACUCCAUGAGUAACUCCAAGCAACUUUCACCUAAGAGCAAAAU